AUCGCUUCUCGGCCUUUUGGCUAAGAUCAAGUGUAAAAAGUAGAUAUGAGCAUAUGCAAGCCUGUGUCUAUAAAACAUUUGUGUGCAUAACCAAUGUAUAUAAAUAGGUUUGGUCUUCUUUGUGAGAGUAGAUAUAUGUGUCCAUGUGUAUAUAUCUGUAUCUGCACAUAAAUACAUGCACAUAUACUCUAUUU